GGGUCACGAUAAGAGGUUGUGGAGACCAGGGUUCUCAUUAUGUAGAUGAAGCCUCAUGGGUGGCCACCCUUAGAGACAAUAGAUGGCAAAUGUUUUCUAUUCAGACCCCAAAAAAGUGCUAGACUCAAUUAAUUUCUUCAGGCUUGGGAGGGCCUGGAAGGGGGAAAGGUCUAGUUAUGUUAGCAGAGAUUUUUUACAAAUGCAAUUUCCCCCCACAAGAAUGGCUCUGCAGGCCAUUUUAAAAUAUGGCAAAGAAACAUAUUUGGUGGUGAAAUAUUUGAUUUCCUUCUUAUCUGUCAUGUGAUGUUAUGCCAGACUCAGUAUGGAAAGUGAGCCACAUUAUAUAAGGUUAAGCAAAACCCCUCUGUUGAGAUUUUAUGGUUUGUAGGUUGUGACUCCCCAGGCCCCUUAAAUAGGAAUUUAGCAAGAGAAGAAAAACGUCAGAGUUUAGUCCUCACUGCCAUAACAAAACCCACAGACCAGGUGGCUUGAACAACAGAAACUUAUUUUCUUACUGUUCUGGAGGCCGGAAGUCCAAGAUCAAUGUGUCAAAGGAUUUGGUUUCUUCUGAGGCCUCUCUGUUUGGCUUGCAGAUAGCCACCUUCCCCAGGUCUCUGCAUUUGUGUCUUAAUCUUCUCGUCUUAUGAGGACACCAGACAUAUUGGAUUAGGGCCAAACCACAUGACCUCCUUUUACCUUAAUCACCUCUUUAAAUGCCUUGCCUACAGAUACAGUCACAUUCUAAGUGUCUGGAGCUUCAACACAGGUUUUUUGGAAGGACCCAACUCAGCCCCUAAGAGGAGUAGCUGUAACUGUUAUCUUCCUGAAACCCCAAGGCUAUUGCCACAGUCUAAGCUCCUCCACAUGUUGUCACAGAAAGCACUGAGGUCCUCAUCUCAGCACCAUGAGAACCGGAGUUAAUGACCAAUAGACCUUCACUACAGGACCUUCAAGGCCCAUCUGUAUUUUGGGAAGAAAGGUGACCUCAGACAGAAGGGCAAGAAAGACUUCAUGAAGAGAUAGAGAGCUGACCACAAAAGAAAAUACAUGAAUUCUAUUUGUCAAAAGAUGUCAUGAAGAAAGUGAAAAGACAAGCCAUGAGCGGCAAGAAAAUGUGUGUAAACAAGUACAAUUGACUAAAGAUGAGUAUCAAGAUUAUACAAAGAGCUCCUACAAAUCAAAAAGAACAGAACGCUGAAGACAAAUGGGCAAAGGACAUGAACGGGCACUUUUAAAAAGAGGGAAUAUGAUAAAUAUAUGUUAAGGUCUCAACUUUAUUAGUGAUCAGGGAAAUGCAAAUUAAAACUCUGGUGAAAUACUAUCUUUCAUUCACCCACCUGGAAGAAUCAAGAAGUGUGACAAUACUAAGUGUUGGUGAGGAUGUAAAUUAACAAUUCUUACUCAUUGCUGGUAGAAGUGAAAUUGGGACCACCAGUUGGGGAAACAGUUCUAGUGUUUUAUUGUAAAGUUGGAUAUUUGCAUAUACUACUAGGUAUUACAUCUUGUGGGAUGUCUGCAUGCGUACACCAGGAUACAAAUUGGGUCCUUUUCAAUUGUUUCCAACCCCAAAUUGGAAAAAAAAAAAAAAAAAAAAAGAACCAACAAACCACCAAGUGGCUUUAUCACCGGAUCAAUAAAUUGUGGUAUAGCCACAUGGUGGAAUAUUUUACUGUAGUGAAAAUGAAUUACAGGACUAUACAGCACUGUGUAUGUAUUACAGAAACAACUUUGAAAGAAGAAAAUUGCAGAAGAGAACUUAACAGCAUGAUACCAUUUGUCUUAGUACAUUUGGGCUGCUAUAACAAAAUACCAUAGGCUGGGUGGCUCAUAAACAACAAUUUAUUUCUCACAGUUCUGGAGGCUGGAAAGUCCAAGAUCAAGGCACCAGCAGAUUCCUGUCUUGUGAGGGACUGGUCUCAGUUAUUAGAUGGAUGGCAACUGCUGUGUUCUCACAUGGUGGAAGUGGCUAGGUGGCUCUGCAGGACCUCCUUUAUAAGGGUUCUUAUGAAUCCCACUCAUGACCAAAGGGCCCAUCUCCUGAUACUAUCACUUUGGGGGUUAGGAUUCUUGCACAUGAAUUUAUGGAGUCACAAACACCCAGACCAUAACACCAUUUUUAUAAAGUUACAGAGAAGCAAAACGAAGUGAUGUAUUAGGGCUACAAAGAAACGAUUUAAAAAAACUAUUUUAAAAAGUGAGGGUAUGAGCUAUUGACAGCUUUUCACAAUUUUGUAUACUCCUAUGAACAAAAUUUAGAUCAUAUUUGUUUCUCUCUGAUUUCUCCAAAUUUGGAAACUAUUUUUGAGUAUUCUGAACUUACGGCAAUACAGUUAUUUGUGUACGGGGAAAAAAAAAAAGUGAGGGUAUGACAGACACAAAGGUCAGGAUAGAAGUUGGGCGUGCAGAGGGAGAAGGCAUAAGGAAGGAAACCAUAGGUGGGAGCAUCUGUACUGGGAAUGUUUCGUUUCUUAAGUAGGAUGGUUUUGUCACGGAUAGUAAUUAUAUUAUGUUUCCUAACGAUGUGUGAUGGAGAAGGAAAGAGAAAGUCAGUGCAGAAGACUCACUGCAGAAGCGGCCUGCCUGAAAAGUCACAGCAACAGGCAAAAAUAAAACAAUCUGGUAAAAAACUCAGGCUGCACCUGCACACAGACAAGCACACAGGGUCCAGCAUAGAAGCCCUUUGUUCUUUUAUAAUUAGCGAGCUCCCAGGAAAGUUUCCUCCCCUUUUCAGGCAUAUACAUGGUGGGAACUUGCCCAGGGAGGAGAGGUGCUUACCUAAAACAAACUCACAGUUAUGCAAACAAAAAAGGCGUGCUUUGUGCUUGCAUAGAUACAUACCCACAGCUGCAUAAGAUAAGACAGCUUUACUGAUAAGUUACUCAAACUACAGAGAUAAGAGGUUUUCUUGGAAAAGCUUUUGAAUUCAGCUGUAACAGGGCAAUCCACUUUCAUACUCAGCUCACUGUGGAGAGCUUUCUUUCGCUUAUUAAACUUUUCACUCCCACCUCACCCUGUGUCCCGUUCCUUAGUUUUCUUGGAGUAGGACAAAGAAUCCCAGGUAUUAGUCCAAACAAGGAGAAAAUGCUACAUUAAAGUACAUUGGCAAGAUGGCAACAUGUGUAUUCCAUGUACUUUUUCGUAUGUUAUCUAUCACGUAUGUGUAGAUUUCAUU